AGACAAAUUGCAAGUUCAAGAAUAUUUUCCCUUUAUUUGGUGACUUGGUAUACUGAUUCCCCUGGCAGGGUCAGAGACCGAGACAAAGACAAGUAUUAUAUUACUUCCUUGGUAGGUACAACAUAUGGGUGACGUAUGUCCCAUUAAUCAGACAUAUGACACUCAGUGCAUAUGCUCACAAAUGUAUGCUGAGUGCACUUUAUGCCAAGCAGAUAUUUGGGGCACUGCCAACGGUUCUACAUGUGUUUACAG